rnacentral:rRNA from 1 species
GAUGAACGCUGGCGGCGUGCCUAAUACAUGCAAGUCGAACGAGGUCUUCGGACCUAGUGGCGAACGGGUGAGUAACACGUUGGUACCUACCCCGAAGUGGGGAAUAACUGCCCGAAAGGGUGGCUAAUACCGCAUAAUACCGCAAGGUUAAAGCAGUAAUGCGCUUCGGGAGGGGCCUGCGUCCCAUUAGCUAGUUGGUAGGGUAAUGGCCUACCAAGGCGACGAUGGGUAGCUGGAUCGAGAGGUUGACCAGCCACAUUGGGACUGAGACACGGCCCAAACUCCUACGGGAGGCAGCAGUGGGGAAUCUUGCGCAAUGGGCGAAAGCCUGACGCAGCCAUGCCGCGUGAAUGAUGAAGGUCUUAGGAUUGUAAAAUUCUUUCACCGGGGACGAUAAUGACGGUACCCGGAGAAGAAGCCCCGGCUAACUUCGUGCCAGCCGCCGCCGUAAGAC